rnacentral:lncRNA from 1 species
GCAGAGAAAGAUUUAAUUCAAGUAAUUAGGAAUUUCCAAAUUUAUUGGAAGGGCUUGAGAAGAAGGCUACACCAGUUCACAGUAUACAACAGUGAACAAAACAGACCAAAACAACUCUUAGUUCAUGGAGUUUACAUUCUAGUGUAGAAAGAGAAGCAAUAAACACAAUAAAAAAGCAAAAUUUGUUAUAUGUUAAAUUUUACAUACUUUAUGAUAAGUGCUAUAGAGAGAAAUAAAGCAGGGAAGCCGGAUAGGAUUUCUGGGACCAUUUAAAAUAGAGUGGUGAAGGAAGGCCUCACUGAUAAGGUGACAUUUGAGUAAAAUCCUAAAGAAAGCAAGGAAGCAGGCCAUAGAGAUAUUUGGUGGAAGGGCAUCUUAGGUAAAGGGAACAACAGAUGCAAGGGCCCUGAAGUGGGAGCAUAAAUUAUGUAUUUAAGAAACAGCAAGGAAGCUACUGUGGCUAAAGCUGAAUGAGAAAAGUGAGGGUCAUAAGAGAUGAGAUCUGAGCAGUAAGAUGGGGAGUGUGUGUGUGUGUGUGUGUGUGUGUGUGUGUGUGUGUGUUUGCAUGUGUGCAAAAUGUAAGGCAUUGUGGACCAUUAUAAUGAUUUUUUUCUCUUGGUGAGGUGAUAUUUUUCCAUUUGAGGAAAGGAAAAUUUGGACAAAGGAAUAACACAGUCUUACUGUUUUAAAAGGCGCACUCUUGGGGACAAGAGCAGGAGUAAACUGAGUGGCUUUCAGAAUAACCUGGACAAGAGAUGAUAGUGGCUUGGACUAUGAUAGUGAUGCAGGUGGUAAAAAGUGAUUAGAGAUAAUUAAAAGAUAACCCAUGAGUAAUUAUGACCCAACUAAGCUUGGGUAACAUUCAUUGGGUAGUUAUUGAUUAACUUUUGUUUUCCUACUCUAGAGGAACUUUCUCUAGUAAUGCCUAGGAGCUGAGGCUGUGAUGGAGAAUGCAAAGGUGACCACCCCAUUGGUGGGGAUUGGUAUGGCUGUAACAGUAAGUGGGCAAAGAUGAUCAUGGCUUGGGCCAAGGUGGUACUAGUAAAGGUGGUGAGAAGUUUCCAGACUCUGGAUUUAUUUUGAAAAUAAAACCAAGAUUUGUUGAUAAAUUGGGCAUGGAAUGCAAGCAAAAGUGAGAAAUCAGUGUGACUGUAGUUUUUUGUCCCCUUUUUUUUUGUUAUUGUUGGAGUUUACAUUAGUGAUAAUGACAAGACUUCAAGAAGAACAGAUUUUGUGGGAAAUAUCAGGAGCUCAUUUUGAACCUGCUGAGUUCGAGAUGCCUUUGAUACAUCUAAAUGUAGAUGCCAAGUUGGCAACUGGAUAUAUGAGCAUAGAGCUCAGGAGAGUUUAAAGAAAAUUUUAUUAGUUAACAUUGUUGAGGUAACUAACAAGCACCAAAUCUCAGUGGAUUACAGCAACAAACGUUCAUUUCCUGCUCUUGCUACAUAUGGGCUACAGAUUGAUUACAGCUCUGCUCUAGGUUGUGGGCCAGCAAAUAGGUCGGAUUCAAGUGUCUUCUAAUCUUGUGCCUAGGCUAAAAGAACAGCCCCUGUCUGUGCUAUACUCGUGGCAAAGGGCAGAAGCAAGAGAGACCAAACUAAUCCAUUCAAUCCAGUUUAAAGAUUCUCCUUGCAUAUGGUGUACACCACGUAUUUCCAUUCUAUUCCAUUCCACCAGCCAAAAAAAGUCACAUAACUCAGCCCUGCAAUGUGGCAAAAAAUGUAUACUCUGCUCAGCAGAGGCAUUUAAAGACAAAUCCAAAGGGUGCGGAUGUAUAAUAGUCAUAGAAGGGAGAAAGCAAGUAGUUGUAAACCAUAAUUUAAUCUACCACAAAGUGAGUAUAGAUAGUGAAGAGAAGAAAUCCAAAGCCUGAGAUAUUUCAAUAUUCAGAGGUCAGGGAAAUAAGGAGAAACCAACAAAGGAGACUGAGAAGGAAGAGAUAGUAAGGUAGGGAGAAACAUUGGAAGUCAAGAAAAGAAAGUGUCUCCAGAAGAAAGGAGGGAUCAGCUGUGUCCCAUACUGCUCAUAGGUCAAGCAAGAUGUGGGCUGACAUUGACCAUUACAUUUAGCAAUGUGGAAAUAUUGAGUGAUAGUGAUGACAGAGUUAAUGGCAUGGUGGGGGAUGCUAUGGUUUGAAUGUCUGUCCCCUCCCACACAAGUUGAAGUUUAAUUGCUAUUGUGACAGUAUUAAAAGGUGGGAUAUUUAAGAGGUAAUUAGGUCAUGAGCACUCUACCCUCAUGAAUGGAUUAAUGCCAUUAUCUCAGAAAUAGAGUUGUUAUCGUUGGAGUAGAAUCCUUAUAAAAGGAUGAGUUCAGCUCUGUUUUGUCUCUCUCACCCUCUCUUUGCCCUUCUGCCAUGGGAUGCUGUCCACCAUGGGAUGAUGCAGCAAGAAGGCCCUGGCAAGAUGCACUUUUCAAUCUUGGACUUCCCAGCCUCCAGAAGUGUGAGCCAAUAAAUCUCUGAGGGUUCUGUUCUAUGUCAUUUCCUUUGAAGUCAGUGGGAACUCUGUGCAGGACGGCAACAUGAACACCGGCCUCUAUACAUGAAGGCCAUCAAGUGGUUAACAUAUAGACAGUAUUUAAAUCCUUGGGACUGGAUGAGAUUACCAAGGGAGGAAAUGUAGAUGAAGGAGAAGAGAAAGGAUGGAGUUCUGGAGCACUACAAAUUUAAGAGACUGGGGAGAAGAGGAGAAACCCAGAAAAUCUACCUUGGAGAUCACUGCGUAAUACUACACUGGGAGCAGUAUCAUUCUUUGAAAUAAUAAUUAUAAUGUAAUAUAAUAGUUAUAAACUAUUCCAGUGUGUGAACAUGCCCUUUAUUCAAGCAGUUCUCUACCAGUAGCUUCUUAACUGGUCUUCCUGCUCUCAGUUUAUCCUUACUCCAAUCCUUUGUAAAUACUGCUUAUGCUAACCUUGGAUUAAUCUUAGUUAUUUAUGCCUGCAUGAAAAAUGGAAAAAUUGGACACAUAUUGCAUUUAUAUAAUGAAAUACAAUGCAGUUUAUUAAAAAUCAUGUUGAAAAACCCACAACAUAAUGUUGAAUUAAAAAAACAUAAUCCCAGUCUACACACACACACACACACACACGUGCACACACAUAAAUAUAUGACCAGAAAUAAAAUGCUGUACAUUUAGCCAUCAAAGUUUAACAUAUUUAUGGAUGAUGGAUUUCCAAGUAAUUUUUAUUUUCAUUUUUUAUUUUACUAUUAUGUAUGUAUGUAUGUAUGUAUGUAUGUAUGUAUGUAUUUAUUGAGACAAAAUCUCACUCUGUCACCCAGGCUGGAGCGCAGUGGUGCGAUCUCGGCUCACUGCAACCUCUAUGUCCCAGUUUCAAGAGAUUCUCCUGCUUCAGUCUCUGAGUAGCUGGGAUUAUAGGUGCACGCCAAUUUUUAUUCUAUUUUUGGUGGUUUUCUGUGUUUUGCAAAUUUUCUUCAUAAAAAAAGAAAGAUUUUUAGAAAGCAUACUUUAAUCAUGUUGCUUCACGGGAAACCAGCUUUGAUUCUUUACUGCCUAAAAAGAUAAUGUCCAAAUAUCUUAAUUUAGUAGUGAAGGCCCUUCAGAGCAGAGGCCCAACCUACUUACUCAAAGUUUUCUCCUAGUUGGCACAAACCCUUUGUUGCAGUUAAAAGGAUCUGCUCAAGGUCUGCUAGAUGUGCUUGGUACUUUGCUGCAUCUGUACUUUUUUUUUAAUGCUAGGAUCCUUUUCAUGUCCCUUAUUUUCCUAUAAUUUCCAAAAUCCUUUAAGACAUGAUUUAAGUUCUAUCUCUUACCUGAAGACCAUGAGUGAGGGACGAGGUCUCCAAAAAUGAAUGACUCUGUUAUUCAUUUAGCAUUUACCACAGGAUCCUUAGCAUUAUUACGGUUCUUUUUCUAUGAGCCCAUAACUUAUCUCCCUAACUGGCACUUUUAAGCACUUAGAAGACUUGUUCUGUAACUUGGAGUUCUUGGUAUUCCCCUGACCUCCUAUGCAUAUUGAGUAUGCAAUAAACAUUUGUAGUAGUUUAGAUCCAGGGUUAUUUCAAAUAAAUAUAAUUUUUGAAAUUUGAAAUAAUUCUGGAUCUCUCUUUCUCUAUGCGUUCUAUGUGCAUUGAACUUGCUGAAGGAGUAACAGAUUUUCAGCAGUUAAUUUCCUAUAAGGGAAAAAUUUAAAUAAACUUAAUUAUAAACUAUUGCUUAAAUAUUUUUCCUGCACCAAAGGUCAUUGGUUAUUUUUGCUUCAGGGAACGUUCUCUUUUUACUGUCUCCUGAAAUACAACUGAAAUACAAUGUAGCUUUCCUUUUCUUCUUUAUUCCCUGGUCCCAAAUAUAAUCUCCACAUGUGCUCUAUCUUUGUAGGUGAAAUACUUCCUGCCUCAGUGAAAUCCGGCUCCCAGUGAAUUUCUUUGGUUUAGAGAGCAACUUGAGGAUUUUGCAUUUGGCACCAUUCAAUUUCCUUGGCAUCUCUCCAUAGUCACCAUUUAGAAGGCUCCUGGUCAGUAGGAUUUCUCUCCCUCUUACACUCUGUAGAGAUUAAAAAAGGAUUGUAUUACAGGGGCUUGGAAAUGUGAUGGAAAAUGAAAUUUGCUUUAGCAAAAAUGGAAGCUUUUGAAACUCAAGUUGUUCUAACAGGACCCUUAGACAAGAAUAGUUUUUAGGGGAGCAAAAUGGCAGAUACGGUUUAAGUUCCUUAUUUAGAUUGCCACUAAGAAAUAUUAUGAUGUGUAAAAUCACUCACUCAAAUAAAGUCAUUUGCAAAACAA